UACGGAGGGUGCGAGCGUUGUCCGGAAUCACUGGGCGUAAAGGGCGCGUAGGCGGGCCGAAGCAAGGUCGUGGGUGAAAGCCCGGGCGCACCAUCGGAUGACUGCCUUAGAUACUGUCGGCCUCGAGGGAGAUAGGGGCAUGCGGAACUAACGGUGGAGCGGUGAAAUGCGUUGAUAUCGUUAGGAACUCCGGUGGCGAAAGCGGCGUGCUGGAUCUCUUCUGACGCUGAGGCUCGAAAGCUAGGGGAGCAAACGGG
rnacentral:rRNA from 1 species